AGCGAACGCUGGCGGCAGGCUUAACACAUGCAAGUCGAGCGGGCCUUUCGGGGUCAGCGGCGGACGGGUGAGUAACGCGUGGGAACGUGCCUUCUGGUUCGGAAUAACCCUGGGAAACUAGGGCUAAUACCGGAUACGCUCUUAUGGGGAAAGGUUUACUGCCGGAAGAUCGGCCCGCGUCUGAUUAGCUGGUUGGUGGGGUAACGGCCUACCAAGGCGACGAUCAGUAGCUGGUCUGAGAGGAUGAUCAGCCACACUGGGACUGAGACACGGCCCAGACCCCUACGGGAGGCAGCAGUGGGGAAUAUUAGACAAUGGGCGCAAGCCUGAUCCAGCCAUGCCGCGUGAGUGAUGAAGGCCUUAGGGUUGUAAAGCUCUUUUAUCCGGGACGAUAAUGACGGUACCGGAGGAAUAAGCCCCGGCUAACUUCGUGCCAGCCGCCGCCGUAACAC
rnacentral:rRNA from 1 species